rnacentral:rRNA from 1 species
UACAGAGGGUGCGAGCGUUGUCCGGAAUCACUGGGCGUAAAGGGCGCGUAGGUGGCGGCCCAAGUCCAUGGUGAAAGCUCGAUGCUCAACAUCGAGUCGGCCACGGAUACUGGGUUGCUGGAGCACUGUAGGGGCAGAUGGAAUUCCGGGUGUAGCGGUGGAAUGCGUAGAGAUCCGGAAGAACACCGGUGGCGAAGGCGGUCUGCUGGGCAGUUGCUGACACUGAGGCGCGACAGCGUGGGGAGCGAACAGG